ACCCACCAACCAAAACGAGGAAAGACCAAAGCUUCAUCAUACAAUUCAAUCAUUUAAUAGAUGAGAAUUUGCAGCUUUAGAUCACAUUGGAACCAAUUUUUUAUCAAUAACAAAUACAUUUAACAAUGAACUGUCAUCUGCACCAUUUCCAUGUAUUAAUUCGUAUUUUCAUAGCUGAUACGAACUGUCCAGCGGAAGUGGAUUCUAUUUGCAAUUUCAAGAAAUAAUUUUUAAUAAAGGUGCAGAAAUAGAUGAAGACCUAUUUUUCAAAAAAAACUCUGUUUUAGCUAGUUAUUUUUUGAAGAAAGACGCCGAUUACCGUAACAGAGAAGAUGUGCAGAUCAAAAUCAUGCAACAGGUACAGAAAUAGCACGCAAAAUCACCGAGGGGGAAAAAAACAAUGUACUAAGACAAACAAGAUCCGAAAUCAGCGACACCCAUAUCACCUAAUAGAUCAAACCAAUUUAAAUUAUAAAACGAAGUAUAGAGAUCUAUAAUCUGACAAGAAAAACGAAAACCCAGAUGCAGACAUAAAAGAAAAUGUAAAAGAAAAGAAGUGUAGCAGAUCAAGAG
rnacentral:misc_RNA from 1 species